ACGAACGCUGGCGGCGUGCCUAAUACAUGCAAGUCGCACGCAUUUUCUUUCACCGUAGCUUGCUACACCGAAAGAAAAUGAGUGGCGAACGGGUGAGUAACACGUGGGCAACCUGCCCAUCAGCGGGGGAUAACACUUGGAAACAGGUGCUAAUACCGCAUAAUUCCAUUUACCGCAUGGUAGAGGGAUGAAAGGCGCUUUUGCGUCACUGAUGGAUGGACCCGCGGUGCAUUAGCUAGUUGGUGGGGUAACGGCCUACCAAGGCUGCGAUGCAUAGCCGACCUGAGAGGGUGAUCGGCCACACUGGGACUGAGACACGGCCCAGACUCCUACGGGAGGCAGCAGUAGGGAAUCUUCGGCGAUGGACGCAAGUCUGACCGAGCAACGCCGCGUGAGUGAAGAAGGUGUUCGGAUCGUAAAACUCCGUUGUUAGAGAAGAACAAGGAUGAGAGUGGAAAGUUCAUCCCUUGACGGUAUCGAACCAGAAAGCCACGGCUAACUACGU
rnacentral:rRNA from 1 species